rnacentral:rRNA from 1 species
UACAGAGGUCCCAAGCGUUGUUCGGAUUUAUUGGGCGUAAAGGGCGCGUAGGCGGGAAUGUAAGUCAGAUGUGAAAUCCCGGGGCUCAACCCCGGAACAGCAUUUGAAACUGCUUUUCUAUGAGGAUGGACGGAGAAAAUGGAAUUCCACAAGUAGCGGUGAAAUGCGUAGAUAUGUGGAAGAACACCAGUGGCGAAGGCGAUUUUCUAGUUUAUACCUGACGCUAAAGCGCGAAAGCUAGGGGAGCAAACAGG